rnacentral:rRNA from 1 species
GACGAACCGUGCGAACGUUGUUCGGAAUCACUGGGCUUAAAGGGCGCGUAGGCGGGCGGCCGCGUCCGGGGUGAAAUCCCACGGCUCAACCGUGGAACGGCCUCGGAUACGGGCGGCCUCGAGGGGGGUAGGGGCAUGCGGAACUUCCGGUGGAGCGGUGAAAUGCGUAGAUAUCGGAAGGAACGCCGGUGGCGAAAGCGGCGUGCUGGACCUCUUCUGACGCUGAGGCGCGAAAGCCAGGGGAGCAAACGGG